rnacentral:rRNA from 1 species
AGUCGUAACAAGGUUUCCGUAGGUGAACCUGCGGAAGGAUCAUUAAAGAAAUUUAAUAAUUUUGAAAAUGGAUUUUUUUGUUUUGGCAAGAGCAUGAGAGCUUUUACUGGGCAAGAAGACAAGAGAUGGAGAGUCCAGCCGGGCCUGCGCUUAAGUGCGCGGUCUUGCUAGGCUUGUAAGUUUCUUUCUUGCUAUUCCAAACGGUGAGAGAUUUCUGUGCUUUUGUUAUAGGACAAUUAAAACCGUUUCAAUACAACACACUGUGGAGUUUUCAUAUCUUUGCAACUUUUUCUUUGGGCAUUCGAGCAAUCGGGGCCCAGAGGUAACAAACACAAACAAUUUUAUCUAUUCAUUAAAUUUUUGUCAAAAACAAGAAUUUUCGUAACUGGAAAUUUUAAAAUAUUAAAAACUUUCAACAACGGAUCUCUUGGUUCUCGCAUCGAUGAAGAACGCAGCGAAAUGCGAUACGUAAUGUGAAUUGCAGAAUUCCGUGAAUCAUCGAAUCUUUGAACGCACAUUGCGCCCCUUGGUAUUCCAGGGGGCAUGCCUGUUUGAGCGUCAUUUCCUUCUCAAACAUUCUGUUUGGUAGUGAGUGAUACUCUUUGGAGUUAACUUGAAAUUGCUGGCCUUUUCAUUGGAUGUUUUUUUUCCAAAGAGAGGUUUCUCUGCGUGCUUGAGGUAUAAUGCAAGUACGGUCGUUUUAGGUUUUACCAACUGCGGCUAAUCUUUUUUUAUACUGAGCGUAUUGGAACGUUAUCGAUAAGAAGAGAGCGUCUAGGCGAAACAUGGUCUUAAAAGUUUGACCUCAAAUCAGGUAGGAGUACCCGCUGAACUUAAGCAUAUCAAUAAGCGGAGGAAA